rnacentral:lncRNA from 1 species
CAGGGUCUUCUAAAGUGCUUAUGUAUUUCUCACUUCCAGGGCACUGACAAGGGCUUGUAUGCACCACAUCCUUGCCGAUACUUGCAUUUGUAAUCAUGGCCUUCCAGAGGGUGUGUGUGAUAUCCCAUCAUGCCUCUCAUCUGCAUUUCUUUAGCUCAAGAACCUCUUAAGGAGUUGUUAAGAAGUCUCUGAAUGAGUGGGUCCAAUUAACUACAGUCAAGUCUGCUGUGCCGAGACCUGGCAAAUCAGGGAAGUGGAUCUAGAGGAGUUUCAUCAGAUUCAGGCUCAACUUUUAUGCCAAAAGGACUUUAACGGUGGAAUCAUGAACCCCCGUGAGGAGGUGCACAGAAUUUCUGGAUCAAUUUGGGAACUAAGACUAGAGAAGAUCUGUGUUUCAUCAUCUGGAAACCAUGGAGAGGGUGAGGCACAUGGAGUUCCUUGACCCCUCAUCUUGCUGAAGCAGCAAGCAUGGGUGAGUGCUGAGAAACCUCACACACUCCUAGGCUACCAAGAGCUGUGUGGACACUCUUGUGUAAGUUGGUCAAAGAGGAACCCUGUAUACUGGACACUAUGUUGUUUACUUCUUCAGAAUAGGACAGUAAACUCAAAACCUGCCAGCACCAAACUCAAAAUUUUACACAUUCAAUCACUUACAUAUAGCUCA